rnacentral:lncRNA from 1 species
AUGAAGGUGUUUUUCUGGAGUAAGAGCUGAUUUUCUAGGAGUGAUAUUAUUGUUAGGAUUUAGUUAGAUUGUAGUUGAUUACUAGUUGGAUUAGGAUAAAAAAAAUCUAUUAGAGAUAAAUUAAUAUGAAUUUAGAUAUUUAUUAAAAUAAGUGUUCUAAUUAUAUUAGGAUUGGGAUAGGUUUUAUGUGGGUGCUAUAUAAGGAACUGAAUUAUCAAUAGGUGAGUUAGCCUGGCAUUUUGUCUUGUGGCAGAAGGCCGGAUUGGGGGGAGUCAAGCAGCAUGAGACUGGUUGGGCCGAGUCACAAUCGAGACUUGUAGUCGUUGUUCUUGAACUAUAUAUAUUGACCAUUUUGAGUUGACUUCCUAACCUUCUAAAAUUUUGAUUCUACUAUUUAACCUCUAAACUUAUUUGAUUUGAAUCAAUCAACGGUAUCUUGAUUACAAAAUUGGAAUGCUUCGUUUAUCUUUAUAAAUUUAGUAUAUUUUAUACAAUUCUCGCAACUAUAUAUUCAUUAAAGCCAUGAAUUAGUUUAAAUUUUUAUAUCAAAGUACUGUUGACUAGUUGAAAUCAAAAAAAAAAAUUCUGAGAUAAAAAUUUAAGAUUACUUGGUUAGCUUAAAUUUUGAUGUUAGGCCUUUGAUGUUAGAGGCCUAGCUACUCCCGGGCCUUGGGGGCCUCUGCCCGACCCAUCAUCAUACCGGGCCGGGCGGCCCACAGAUCUGUCGGGCCCGUUUUUGCUCCCAUAGGUAGACAGGACUAGGAAAAAAAUAAAGGCUAAAUUACAUAAAACCUCUCUGUCAAAAUCCGAUUUUUCACUUUCCCUUAUUGUCAUUUAAAAACCUACACUUUGCCCCUUAGUAAAAUAAAAAAUGUUCACUUCGCCUCCUACCGUUAGUAAUCCAUUAGGGUACCGUUUAUAAAAUAUUAUUAUAUAUUUUUUUAUGCCAAAAAUGCCAUCAGUCUUCUCUCCUGUGAAGUGUGAAUAUAGAGAGGGGCAAAAUAGUCAUUUUAUCAUCACAGUUCACACCGUACCCUUCUGUGAAUAUUUUUCAUUUUACAAGGGGGCUAAAGUGUAGGUUUUUAAAUGACAGGGAGGGAAAGUGAAAAAUCGGGUUUUGAUAGGAAGGUUUUCUGUAAUUUAGCCAAAAAUAAAUAAAUAAAGGGCAAUCUUCAAAUCNGACAGGACUAGGAAAAAAAUAAAGGCUAAAUUACAUAAAACCUCUCCGUCAAAAUCCGAUUUUUCACUUUCCUUCAUUGUCAUUUAAAAACCUACACUUUGCCCCUUAGUAAACUAAAAAAUGUUCACUUCGCCCCCUACCGUUAGUAAUCCAUUAGGGUUCCGUUUAUAAAAUAUUAUUAUAUAUUUUUUUAUGCCAAAAAUGCUCUCAGCCUUCUCUCCUGUGAAGUGUGAACAUGGUGAGGGGCAAAAUGGUCAUUUUAUCAUCACAGUUCACACCGUACCCUCCUGUGAACAUUUUUUAUUUUACAAGGGGGGCAAAGUGUAGGUUUUAAAUGCCAGGGGAGGAAAGUGAAAAAUCGGAUUUUGACAGAAAGGUUUUCUGUAAUUUAGCCAAAAAUAAAUAAAUAAAGGGCAAUCUU